rnacentral:rRNA from 1 species
UGGUGGGAUACUACCCUGGCUGUAUGACCAUUCUAACCCGCCACGCUUAGCGCGUGGGGAGACAGUGUCAGGUGGGCAGUUUGACUGGGGCGGUCGCCUCCUAAAGAGGAACGGAGGCGCCCAAAGGUUCCCUCAGAAUGGAUGGAAAUCAUUCGCAGAGUGGAAAGGCCCAAGGGAGCUUGACUGCGAGACUGACAAGUCGGGCAGGGACGAAAGUCGGGCUUAGUGAUCCGGG